rnacentral:sRNA from 1 species
AACAAUUCAAAAGCCUUCGGUCUAAAAAAAAAAAAGAAUUAUUAAACCAAAUCAUUUGCUGUUCAUUGCAGAGAUUUUUUAACGAAAAACAGCGUUGAAUAAAAACAUGAAUAUGGCAGAUAAA